GCGUCUCUCAAACGCCGGCGCGCCGGGGGCGGGGCUGGGGACGCACGACCUUUGACCCCCGCGCGUCCCUGACGCCGCCGGAAACCAGCACCACAUCGGGUCACGGGGGCUCCAGCGGUUGCCUUGACUACGGCCGGCGGGGAGGAGCUGCAGGAGCUGCGUUAGGUGCUGCGUCAGGGGCUGUCCAACCCACUCCUCCAGCCGGAGCGAGAGGACCUGGUGUCCGUGUCAGGUUUGCACCUGCGGGUGAGAUACGGCCGGUGUGGCGGCGGCCGGGGCUCGGGACGAGCUGGGGCUUCGGGGGACGGAGCCCUCAGAGGGGCCGCCCCGCGAAGGUGUAGCGAUGCGGGCGCGGCGACGGCCCACGUCUCCGGGUCCACGAGUGCCCGCCGCGCACCGCCAGCUACAGUUACACAGCCCUGCUUUGUCGGCUCCUAUCCAGGGGCGGAACCUGAAAUGCUGUCGGGCCAGGGGGAUAAUAUACGCCUGUGUGGCGGCGGCUGGAUGUCAGGCUGGUGAGCGGGAGAUCGGAUCCCACUGGGAGAGUGUAAGCCCACAAAAUUUAAAAAGUAAAUACAUAAAAGGAGACGGAAGAAGAAUAGAAUGGUGUGCAAGUCCGUGAGUUUUCCAUCCAUGUUACGCUUUCUUCUAUCCCCUAGCUUUCCAUCCUAGCCUGACCAUAUUCCCGUGCCCAGUCCCAUCCAGGAUGUGUUCCUUUGGGGUCUGACAGACUGAAAAGGUAGUAGGUCGUCUCCUGAAACCCAGAUUUGGUCUGUGAGUCCUUCCUAACAACCGCCCACCACCCAUAAACAGUCGUCUCCUUCCUCCACUUCCCUGUUGACCCAGAGAUUAGCUCACUCUUUGCUAAAUAAAUGUUGUGACUGUGUCAGUCCUGUUGUAUUGUAAUCCUCUCCAAAGAAAGAACAUUUUGCGUGUUAAUGGAAAGCAGUUUCCCCUUUAGUUUCAUGAUAAAUGUUGUUUAUAAUUAAUAAUCAGUUGUAGAUUAAAAGAUAAAUCGACAUUUGAGAAUUUGAUUCAUAUCUGAAAACCCUGAUGUGCACGAAAAUUGUUUAUUUUUUUUCGAUCUUUAUUUCUGUCCAACCUAACUUCCUUUGUCAUCCACCUGUCAGGAAAUUUCAAUCUUUGUUAUGUUGGAGGCUUCCUUUUCUUCAAGAAGUAAAACGAUCCAGGGAGCAGAGACAUUGCCAGUGCAAGAGGAGUCUCCUCUGGGCCCUAAACAUUGGCGACAUCAUUGUCCACAUGGAACCACACGGAUUUACAAAAAUCAUGACGUGUCUUGUCCUACAGCUGAAUAUUUGGAAAAAUAUCCUAUGUAUGGCAGUGUUCUUCCACCCUAGAGUCUGAAGCUCAAGGAAGAAUUUCGAGCACAUCGUGGUAAAAUGGAAGGAAUAACAACCUUUAAGUAAGUAUCAAGAAACUAUUUGCUUUUUUCUCCCCCACUCUUCUGGUUUUAAUAAAGUUUUUUUUUCAACUCUUUAAACUAUUUAGUUGAUUUAAGUUGAACCAACCUAAGAAGCAAGAAACUAGUUGAGUCACAACUUGAGAAAAACAGAUAGAGCUUAUUUUACUUACAUAGCAGAGGUGGAGACCUUCAAACUUAUAGUCCAAUACCUAUACCUUGAACAUUUCAGGCAACUUGCAGUGCUUUGGUGAUUCCACUUACUUUUGUAGGUAUGUGGCUCUUCCAGAAAUGUGAAGUUUUUCCAUAGUCCUCAACUCUGGUGUGAUUUGGAAUCAUCUAGAAAGGUUAAAAUUGCAGCUUCCAGAGCUCCACCCAAAACAGUGAGUAGACAAUGGCGUGGAUCCCAGGCAUGUGCAUUUCUAACCAGCACUGCUGGCGAUUCUGUUGCUACAGACUCAGUGCAAUGGGCAGGCACUGGACUGUUCACUGGGUAUAACGUGGAACAGAAAGAAGGGCUUCCCACUGUUGUUUAUAGUCUUGUGGGAAUGAUAGUACCAAAACAAAGAUCAGAUACACAAGAUCAUGACACAUCAUAGUAAAUGAGAUGAAUUGAGCAGUUGGUUGAGAGCAAAUGGGAAUGGUUGCCCUUUUUUCUUCACCUUUACUCCUCUCUUCCUUGAUGCCUUAAUGAUUCAUGAUGGAGAUUUGAAAUAAAUUUCACAGUAUUUGUAUUUAUUGAAUAAAGAUUUUGCAUUUAACCAACUCUAAGUGUUAAAAUUAGGAAAGUUUAACCUGCCUCAUCUUUCUUUAAAAAGACAAUUGCUGGAACUUCCUAGGUUGCACAGUGGGUAACAAUCCGCCUGCCAAUGCUGGGGACACAGGUUCGAUCCCUGCCCCAAGAAAAUACCACAUGCCGCAGAGCAACUAAGCCCGUGCGCCACAACUAUUGAGCCUGCUUUCUAGAGCCCGUGAGCCACAAGUAUUGAGCCCAUGUGCCGCAACUACUGAAGCCCACGCGCCUAGAGCCCAUGCUCUGCAACGAGAGGCCACCACAAUGAAAAGCCUGUGCACCACAAUGAAGAGUAGCCCCCGCUCGACACAACUAGAGAAAGCCUGUGUGCAGCAACGAAGACCGAACACAGCCAAUAAAAUAAACAAACAAACAAAUAAAUAAAUAAAAUUUAUUAAGA